rnacentral:rRNA from 1 species
GACGAACGCUGGCGGCGUGCUUAACACAUGCAAGUCGAACGGAAAGGCCCUGCUUUUGUGGGGUGCUCGAGUGGCGAACGGGUGAGUAACACGUGGGUAACCUGCCCUUGACUUUGGGAUAACUUCAGGAAACUGGGGCUAAUACCGGAUAGGAGCUCCUGCUGCAUGGUGGGGGCUGGAAAGUUUCGGCGGUUGGGGAUGGACUCGCGGCUUAUCAGCUUGUUGGUGGGGUAGUGGCUUACCAAGGCUUUGACGGGUAGCCGGCCUGAGAGGGUGACCGGCCACAUUGGGACUGAGAUACGGCCCAGACUCCUACGGGAGGCAGCGGUGGAGAGUAUAGCACAAUAGGCGGAAGCCUGAUGCAGCAACGCCGCGUGGGGGAUGACGGCCUUCGGGUUGUAAACCGCUUUCGCCUGUUACGAAGCGUGAGUGACGGUAAUGGGUAAAGAAGCACCGGCUAACUACGUG